UCGAGUCGUCCUGCGCGGAAGAUGUACCGGGGCUAAACAUACCACCGAAGCUGCGGCAGCAUGUUUACAUGCUGGGUAGGGGAGCGUUGUGUAAGUGGCUGAAGGUGAGUCGAGAGGCUUGCUGGACAUAUCACAAGUGCGAAUGCUGACAUGAGUAACGAUAAUGGGGGUGAAAAACCCCCACGCCGGAAGACCAAGGUUUCCUGUCCCAUGCUAAUCAGGGCAGGGUAAGUCGGCCCCUAAGGCGAGGCGGAAACGCGUAGUCGAUGGGAAACAGGUUAAUAUUCCUGUACCGAUUACAAGUGCGAUGUGGGGACGGAGAAGGUUAGCUCAGCCAACUGUUGGAUAUGUUGGUUCAAGCCUGUAGUCAUGCCUGGUAGGCAAAUCCGCCGGGCUAAGAUGAGGGGUGAUAACGAGUGUGCUUGCACACGAAGUGAGUGAUACCCUGCUUCCAGGAAAAGCCACUAAGCUUCAGCUUGUAACGACCGUACCGCAAACCGACACUGGUGCGCGAGAUGAGUAUUCUAAGGCGCUUGAGAGAACUCUGGAGAAGGAACUCGGCAAAUUGACACCGUAACUUCGGGAGAAGGUGUGCCCUCAGUAGGUGAACCUGUACAAGGGGAGCCCAAAGGGGUUGCAAAGAAUAGGUGGCUGCGACUGUUUAUUAAAAACACAGCACUCUGCAAACACGAAAGUGGACGUAUAGGGUGUGACGCCUGCCCGGUGC
rnacentral:rRNA from 1 species